UUCUCCUGCGCUCUCACGGAUCAGGGAAUACCGUUUUCUAGCAACCGUUCCAGCCAAUCGAAUGAAAGCAUUAAACUGGGCGGAGACAUCCUGCUCUGGGGUGCGUUUGUUUUCUUCCACUGGACGUGCCUGCAGCCUGUGUGUUGCUACAUGCUGUAUCUGCUCUUCCUGAGACCCAGUUCYUUAUUAAUCAACCGACUGGAGCAGCAGAACUCUGCUGCAGCUAUGGAUCCAUGGCGUUUGGGAGCUCCAUGAAAGAUGCACCGGACUUUCUGAAAGCUUCUCACCAGAUGUGGGACGUUUAGAAUGAAGAACAGCCUUUUGUCUGGUCUUGCUACGUUGGACAUAUGUUUUAUUGUGGCCCAUUCUAAAAGCUAAAGAAGAAAAAAAACUAGCCUGUUGAGCUCACUGAAAAAAGGCAGGAAGUUCUUCUCACGUCAGGAUCUUUCCUCCUCCUUGGUUCUGGGUGAUGAACAGACAGGGUUGGAGCAGCAUCAGCCUUUAGUCUAAUUUGGAAAGUCUGUCUUUGGGAUCUGUCCUUCCACAAAAUGUGCCUGCUGUGAUUUAUAGUUUAUUUCUUUACACACUUAAUUGGAGCCUGGUGCAUUUGACAGUAAAACAUGUUGAGCCCUGGUUAAAAUGUUUGAGUGCAGAUUAAACUUAAAGCAUUGUCAUGUAAUAUGAUCUUAAAACACUUAUUCAAAUUAACYUUUUAAUCAAUUAGUAUUUCACAACAGUUGUCUGGCUGUAAGCACAAUCAACAGGGUUAUAGAAGUGGUUCUUCAUUCUGGUCCUCAUGGCCCACUAUCCUGCUUGUUUUAGUUGUGUCUCAUCUGCAGGUCUUUGAGUUCUACAGAAAUCUGUCAAUCAUUCAUUCAUUUAAACCAGGUGUGCCAAAGCAGGGAAACCACUAAAACAUGCAGGAUAGUGGGUCAUGAGGACCAGAAUUGAGAACCACUGUGUUAAACAUGUACUCAAUUCACAUGGGAAACCAAAAUGACGUAUAGAAUUAUUUGUCUUUCUACAGAAAAUAAUUCAUCCCAGGUGUCCAUUCAAAUAAUAUACAGACACAAAUUCUUUCAAGUCAUUGAAAUUUUUUUUUAAUAUAAUUUAUUUUAACUUUGCCAUUCAGCUCGUAUUUUAUUCUGAUAGCAGACAGACUGACAUCUGCGAAAUCCUGGAAACAGUAAUAUUGUUUUGUUGUAGAUCUGAAGGUAAGUUUGAGCAGAGCUAUAAACAGCUGACAUCUUUAAUUAUAGGACAAGGUGUAGCAUUUAAGCUAGCAUGGAGAGAAUACCAGAAAGAGCCUUAAACAUUUUUUUAAAUGUGCAUAAUGUUAUAAACCAGUGCAGACAUAUUGUUCAGGAUAUUGUAUGAAUGUUUGGUUUCAACAAUAAAUAUGAUAUUUAGUAUGUAGCUUGUUAUGUGUUUGCACUUUGCAGUCUUGUUUUCCUCAUUAAAAAAUUAAAUCUAUCCCUGCAUAA